AAUGGCAGUCUGUGCUGACCUAUGGGCUUGCAAACAAGAUGAGGGAAAUACUGGGAAACUGCAGGAUGGCAGACACUUGCCCAGUGCAGCUCAGCCUCAGCACUGAGAGGGCUGGCAAAGCAACCCUAAAGCCCCAGCACACCUUGUGGACAAGGCUAUACCCACACUAGGCCACAUCACCUCCAGGAGCAGCUGAAAUUCCAAUAUCACAGCACUGGGAAUUGCAGAGCACAAAAAAGGAAGAUCUACAGCUGCUGUUCAGCAGGGGUCUGAGACACCCUGAAGCUGUGGGCAAGAAGAUUUUUGUCAGGGGAACAACCUGAGCAAAGGAGUGCACAGGAGUACAUCAGGCUCCAAUGGAAUCAAACCUGUUCCAAGGCUGGAAAGACUGAGGAAGAAA